rnacentral:rRNA from 1 species
AUUGAACGCUGGCGGCAUGCCUUACACAUGCAAGUCGAACGGUAACAGGUCUUCGGAUGCUGACGAGUGGCGAACGGGUGAGUAAUACAUCGGAACGUGCCUAGUAGUGGGGGAUAACUACUCGAAAGAGUGGCUAAUACCGCAUGAGAUCUACGGAUGAAAGCAGGGGAUCGCAAGAACUUGUGCUACUAGAGCGGCCGAGGGCAGAUUAGGUAGUUGGUGGGAUAAAAGCUUACCAAGCCGACGAUCUGUAGCUGGUCUGAGAGGACGAUCAGCCACACUGGGACUGAGACACGGCCCAGACUCCUACGGGAGGCAGCAGUGGGGAAUUUUGGACAAUGGGCGAAAGCCUGAUCCAGCAAUGCCGCGUGCAGGAUGAAGGCCUUCGGGUUGUAAACUGCUUUUGUACGGAACGAAAAGCCCCGGGUUAAUACCCUGGGGUAAUGACGGUACCGUAAGAAUAAGCACCGGCUAACUACGUGCCAGCAGCCGCCGUAA